AGAGACAGGUGGUGCAUGGUUGUCGUCAGCUCGUGUCGUGAGAUGUUGGGUUAAGUCCCGCAACGAGCGCAACCCUUAUGGAUAGUUACUACGCAAGAGGACUCUAUUCAGACUGCCGUUGACAAAACGGAGGAAGGUGGGGAUGACGUCAAAUCAUCAUGCCCUUUAUGACUUGGGCUACACACGUACUACAAUGGCGUUUAACAAAGAGAAGCGAUACCGCGAGGUGGAGCAAAACUCAAAAACAACGUCCCAGUUCAGAUUGCAGGCUGCAACUCGCCUGCAUGAAGUCGGAAUUGCUAGUAAUCGCAGAUCAGCAUGCUGCGGUGAAUACGUUCCCGGGCCUUGUACACACCGCCCGUCACACCAUGAGAGCCGGGGGGACCCGAAGUCGGUAGUCUAACCGCAAGGAGGACGCCGCCGAAGGUAAAACUGGUGAUUGGGGUGAAGUCGUAACAAGGUAGCCGUAGGAGAACCUGCGGCUGGAUCACCUCCUUUCUAGGGAG
rnacentral:rRNA from 1 species